GUCAAAUGCCUCCUUGGCAACGACCUCGUACCCGGAAGUUGUUAAAGUCGCCGCGAAAUAUCAACAAGAGAACUUGAGAGCGGUAGAAAUGUGAUUGAAAAUGUCUUUAUACAAGAUACAACAGUGUCUCUGUUGGACCAAAUGUGAUAGCUGAGUGGGUAGAAAGUUCGCUCAUUUGCGUGUAGUGCUGUGUGGCUGUAAUGCAGCGCAGUAAAGCCGCCGUGAGUGUGGAGGUGAAGCAGGUGAUAGGAGCUCUGUGCAGACUGCUGACGGCCACCGGCCUGGAAAGUGUCCCCGCACCGGAAACCUUCAGGCGGGCUAAAUUUGGUGGUGGACUCGAGGUGGAGGAUCAGUUUUGGCAGCUCCUCACCAACAUCCUUCAGACAGCUGGCAUUGUUUCCUGUGAAGCUGGUGCACAGCUAGGUGGAGCCCCAGAGCACCGGAAGCUGGUAGCUGCAGGCCUCUGGCAGACUGGAUACCAUGCUGACUGGAUGUGUGGCAGGGAGGGAGGAGAAGGGGGCAAGGGACAGAGUUUUUCCAGCAGAGACCUCCUCCUGGCGCUGGCCUGGCUGCUCACUGCUGGAACACUGGAGAAACUGCUGACACAGCGAGUGCAGCGAUUGGACAAAACAUUACUCACACCUCCACCUGUAAUGGUGAACACUCAGCCGUCUGGUGAGCUCCAGUUAGACUCGGCAUCUCUGAGGAAACUUCAGUGGCUCAUUGGUUGUUUGAGAUACCAGUGGCGGACCCUGCUGUCCAUGCAAGAAGAGCGAACUCAUCUGCUCCAUGCUGUCUCUAUUGCCCCCCUCCCCCCCCUCGCAUCCUCUGAUCAGAGCUCAGCAGUUCUAAGGGAGGACUGUGUUUGUAUGCGGCAGCUCUGUGAGCUCCUAGAAGCAUAUCUGAAUUGGAGACAGGUGGAGAAAGUCUUCUGGACCUGGAUGGACAGUGUGGUGGACUGCCAUCUGACAGAUCCUGAUGUUGAGAAGCCUACAUAUGCACCCAAUGGGAGUGUGAGAGUGUGUCACCACGGAAACCGGGGGCUGGAGAAAUUGGAGGAAAUGCUAUUGAGACUGCCCACAGGACAGGUGUGCAACACACACACGCACGCACGCACGCACACACACACACACACACACGGUGUUCAUUCCUAUAGAGGUGCCUUAUGGUUUUUCCUUGGAGAGAAAUGCAGUUGUUGAAAAUGAAAGGGAAUGAAAAAGCAGCAACAGUAUGUACUGAGUCAUACUCAGUCUGAAGUAAAUAUAACCUGUAAAAACAAGGUUUUCUACCAUUAGUACCAUUACCAUUAGUAGCACAGUAGAGUCUCAUUAUGUUACCACGACCAUACAAGAAUAUUGCUAAAAAUUAAAUAGUCUAAAAUUGGCAGCUCUUUUUUAUUUAAAUCAUGAAUGGAAUAAAUGAUUAAAUGAUAAAUUAACAAGAUUACAAAUAUGACACAUUUCAGUCAGUAUCAAACGAGCAUUGAGGUUUGAUGCCAAUUAAGAAAAUAUGGCAGUAUGAAGACAGAAAGCUUAAUAAUCACUUGACAUGUUGUAAUACAUACAUUCUUGUUUGAAAUGAUAUCUGCUGUAUGUUCUUAAAUCCCUUCAUCUGAUGUCUCAGAAAGGACAGAGUAGAGGCAGAGGGGACGCAGCGGACAGAGGAGAAAGAGGAGAGAGGUUGCAGCAACAAUCGGACACCUCCUCCCUCCCUCCUCUUCUCUCCUCUCUCCCAUUCCCUCCCUCCCUCUCCCAGGUCUACCGAGCCAGGCUCCAGACUGAGAGGCCAGUCAAAAACAGGAGCCACCUACCAGAGGGGCCCCGUGGCAGGGCUGAGGCUCCACACGAGCUCCCAGCGUCUCAGGCUGCGCAGCUGCUUCUUCAGACAGAGGCUUUGCUGCUGGAGCGGAGGGACAGGCAGAGACAGGCCAAUAGGAUGCGGCUGCAGGAGAUGGUUGGCAGGCUGGAUGAACUGGUGUUGAUACCCCCAUAGACUGUUUUUGAUUUCCAGGCAGCGUGGGAUAUGACUGCUAUUUCUGUGAUGGAAGUGUUCUGAUAUUCAGGAAGCUGAUUUAUUCAUUCAGAAAUAACAUCCAUCAAAGGAUGG
rnacentral:lncRNA from 15 species